GAGGUGCCAACUACAGCCUGCAGAUCUACCCGGACGAAAGCCAUUACUUCCACGGCGAGCGCCUCCAGCGGCACCUCUACAGCGCCAUCGUCAACUUCUUCGCGGAAUGCUUCAGGGUCCAGGACAAACCGCCCAUGGCCCCGGCGAGGGAGGAGGAGGAGGAGGAGGAGGACUGAGGGCCUGGCAGCCCCCCGCAGUGUGGCUCUCCCUGGACCAGGGUUGGACCGGGGACCCCGCCCCCCGCUCCCGAGGCGCUGGGUGGGGCGGUGCGUCUCCCUCCCGUAGCACCUGCGUCUGGGGCCCUUGAAGGCACUGCUGCUUCAGAAACCAGCCCCUUCCCGAGGGGAGAUGCCUCCUCCCUCCCGCGCGCGCCCCCAGGAGCCCGGGACCCUCACGCAUGCCUCCUGCUGGCCACACCGCGGCAGGUGAGUCCCAGGCGCCCCAGGAACCCGGUCAGGACGAGGGCAGAGAAGAAGUUGGCCUUGUUGGCGCCAUCUGGAGGAGGCAUAGAGCCCCACCCGCCUGGCAUGCCCACCACCCGGGCACACAUCCUGAGUAGCCACGCCAUGGGCACCCCAGAGCACAAUGCCCGACGGCCUCCCUCCGCAGCCUGCCCCUCUGCCACCCCU